rnacentral:lncRNA from 1 species
CAUCUAUCCUAUCUUGGAAGGAGGCGGGAGCCAUGGAGGUGGCUGGGAGAGCAGCUUGGCCUGUCUAGGUGAAAGGAGACUGGAAACUAUAAACCAUUUCAUGCUUAUUUAUUUUAUGAUCCUCGUGGGCUGGGGUUUACACAAAUUGAACAACAUGUGGAUUAGAUAAUUUGCCAAGGAUGAACAGCCUCCUCCGAUGUUUAUCAGGUUUGGAGGCGAUUAAAGCCAGGUUGAUGAGGACGCUUUGGUGAUGAGUUGAUGGUGGAAUUCCUGUCAAGGAGACACAGAGGCUCCUCACCAAGCCGUAAAUCCCUGCAGGGGAUGGCACAGUGGAGGGGCUGGUCAGAUAUCAAGGGGAGAAGUAACUUUCCAGAUUCUGUUACAUCGCUGAGGGACAGACCCAAAGCAAACCAUAGGCAACUUCAGAGGUACCCUGUGAUAGUUUAGAAAACACUGGCUUCCUAGUGAGUCCAUUCCAAAGCACCGUUAAAGGACUAGCCAAAGACAAAUAACUUGAAUGUGAUCCUUUGCCUAAGGACAGUGGCAGUCAGGUUUUCCUCCAGCUUCUUCCAGAAGUCCUGGGGCCCUGACGUUCAUUUACAGUACCUCAAGACUCCGCAUGGAGAGAGGAAUGUGGGCCAGAAAUCCCAAGACAUUAGUCGGUGUCCUACGGAUAAAAUGGGGAAAGCAAUCCCCUUUUAUUUAUUUUAUUAUUUGCCAAUUUCAAAUAUUUUUCUUAACAAGUCACUUAGUUUAGAGAUUGGAAAUCCUCAUAGCCAAUGAAAUCACAGUUCUCCUUGGCUUCUAAGGAUACUAUUUCGAUGGAGUCAAGAGUUUUCCAAAACUGAAAAUAACCAGAGAAGCACACGACAGAAGGUUCCAGGUGCAUAGCACAGCCUUGUCUAUGUGCUGUGUGCCUCCAGAUUUUCUCUUGUGUCGGGGGCAGCCUGCAUGCUUUUCCUUGUGGCUAAUCUCCUGGGGCAAGUAUACCAGGUUCACGUGGAUAAAGGAGGGACUAGAGCUUCUGAAAGCAUAUUCCGCCUAUGGGACCACUCACUGCUCUUUGUAUUCAAAACACCAUCUUCCCGGAAAAACAAAGCUGGACCCUACCGGUUUGGGAGUCUGAUGCAGUGGACCCCCCAAGAACACUAAGCAAAGCUGUCAUUUACUUGUAUGGUCUUGAAUAUAAAUGUAAGUGGGGAUUAUACUGCCCCUCACACAUUAGUCCCUCCCUUCAGGUUUUUGAAGAUGAAAUGAGAUUCUGAUUGUGAAAGUACUUUAUUAGCCAGAUGUGUUUACAUACGAGCAAGUAGGUGUUGAGUGGUACCUAUGCUUUUUGUUCUUUUUUGAUGUUUGUUGUGCUUUCUGCCUAGCCAGAAGUGUCAGCUCGCCUCUGGAAACCUGGGACUUAGGUGCUGGUUCUACCAGCUCCAAAGGGCUGAAUCAGGCUCAAGCCCCUUUGUUCUUAUCUAGUCUCAGUUUGUGGCUAGGAUGUUGGCAUGAGGGAUUAACCAGUUCCAUGGUAUGACAGGUGAGUCCAGGUACCUGGGAUCCCAUAUUUGGCUUCUGUCUCUCUGCAGUUCUGCAGGGUCCCCUGAUCUCUACUAGGUGCUAACACUUUCCUUCCAAUUCUACCAGCACCUUUACUUUGGGGAGGAAAAUUUCAUUUACAUA